UACGGAGGAUGCAAGCGUUAUCCGGAAUGAUUGGGCGUAAAGCGUCCGCAGGUGGCUAUGUAAGUCUGCUGUUAAAGAGCAGGGCUCAACCUUGUAAAGGCAGUGGAAACUACAUGGCUAGAGUGCGUUCGGGGCAGAGGGAAUUCCUGGUGUAGCGGUGAAAUGCGUAGAGAUCAGGAAGAACACCGGUGGCGAAAGCGCUCUGCUAGGCCGCAACUGACACUGAGGGACGAAAGCUAGGGGAGCGAAUGGG
rnacentral:rRNA from 1 species